rnacentral:lncRNA from 1 species
GAGGGUUAGUUGCGUGGCUUCUUUUUGCUAGGUCAGGGAGAAGAAACUAUUAGAUCUCUGGUUGUGGCGGAUCUACCUUUCCCAAAAGGAAAGUUCCGGGUUGGGUUUGAUCGCAGUGACGGUUUGCGGUGGGGUUCGCGAGCUCCAGCCUAAGAAUUGAUGUCAUGUCCUAGUCCCAAACGAGUCGUCCUUGCUAGCUUCAGAUUUAGUUGGUGGUUUAUUUUUUAGAUGCAAAACCUUAAACCCUAUACCCUAAACCCUAUACCCCAAACCCUAAACCCUAAAUCCCAAACCCUAAACCCUAAGGAGAUUUGUCGUUCUAGAGAUGAUGGUUGAUAUCUUUAAUUUUUCAAAUUAUACGUCGAUUUUUGUGUCCAAAUUUCCUGUACUAUUUCUGUUAAAAAAAAUUUGACGGGAAAUUUUUUGUCGGAAUUUUUUUGGUGGAAAAUAUUUUGCGGGAAAUUUUGUCAAAACUUUUUGGCGGUUGUCAGAAAAUUUUGGCGGGAAAUUCUUUUUCGAGAAUUUUUGGAAAUAAAACCCUAAACCCUAAAACCCUAAACCCUAAACCCUAAACCCUAAACCCCAAACCCUAAAGAUUUUGUCGUUCUAGAGCUAUUUGUUGAUUUUUCUUUUUUUUUUUAAUUAUAAAUCAAUUUUUUUGUCAAUAUUUCUUUUACUAUUUCUGUCAAAAAAAUUUGGCGGGAAAUUUUUGUUGGAAUUUUUUUGGCGGAAAAUAUUAUAACGGGAAAUUUUUGACAAUAACUUUUUGUCAGAAAAUUUUCAAGGUAAAAUGUUUCACAGAAACUUUUUUGGAAGGAAAACCAUAAACCCUAAACCCCAAACCCUAAACCAUAAAUUCUAAACCACAAACCCCAAACCCUAAACCCUAAAGAGGUUUGCCAUUUUCUCUUCUAUGUUGGUGUAAGGCGUGGUUGGAUCUAUCCUUCGAUGUAGACGAUUUCUCUCUUUCACAACAACCUUAGAUGAUGUUCCUAGGAUCUGCUAGUUGAAGGCUAUGGCGGAUUUGGAUUGGAUUUCUCUUGGCUAAUUGGCUAGUUAGAUGUAGAUCUAUCUUGCGGCGGAAGCUGAGGUUCACCACGGUGGGUUCACCACUUUGCGAACUGAUAACGGUUCAUCUGUGACUAGAUCCUUGAUGGCUAGUCACGGGGAUCCUUAACCGGAUUUUGAUGGUUAAUGGCUUGCUUGAGCUAGCGUCCAACCUCCACCGCCUUGAUUGGAAGGGAGGUUUCUUUGGAAGUAAAGGUAAGUGUAAUUCGUUGGAUUAGAGGGUUAGUUGCGAGGCUUCUUUUUGCUAGGUCAGGUAGAAGAAACUAUUAGAUCUCUGGUUGUGGCGGAUCUACCUUUCCCAAAAGGAAAGUUCCGGGUUGGGUUUGAUAGCAGUGACGGUUUGCGGUGGGGUUCGCGAGCUCCAGCCUAAGAAUUGAUGUCAUGUCCUAGUCCCAAACGAGUCGUCCUUGCUAGCUUCAGAUUUAGUUGGUGGUUUAUUUUUUGGAUGCAAAACCUUAAACCCUAUACCCUAAACCCUAAACCCCAAACCCCAAACCCUAAAUCCCAAACCCUAAACCCUAAGGAGAUUUGUCGUUCUAGAGAUGAUGGUUGAUAUCUUUAAUUUUUCAAAUUAUAUGUCGAUUUUUGUGUCCAAAUUUCCUGUACUAUUUCUGAUAAAAAAAAAUUUGGCGGGAACUUUUUUGUCGAUUUUUUUUGGCAGAAAAUAUUUUGCGGGAUAUUUUGUCAAAACAAUUUGGCGGUUGUCAGAAAAUUUUGGCGGGAAAUUUUUUUCCGGGA